AACGAACGCUGGCGGCAGGCCUAACACAUGCAAGUCGAGCGCCCCGCAAGGGGAGCGGCGGACGGGUGAGUAACGCGUGGGAACGUACCCUUUGCUACGGAAUAGCCUCGGGAAACUGGGAGUAAUACCGUAUGUGCCCUUCGGGGGAAAGAUUUAUCGGCAAAGGAUCGGCCCGCGUUGGAUUAGGUAGUUGGUGGGGUAAUGGCCUACCAAGCCGACGAUCCAUAGCUGGUUUGAGAGGAUGAUCAGCCACACUGGACUGAGACACGGCCCAGACUCCUACGGGAGGCAGCAGUGGGGAAUCUUAGACAAUGGGCGCAAGCCUGAUCUAGCCAUGCCGCGUGAGCGAUGAAGGCCUUAGGGUUGUAAAGCUCUUUCAGUGGGGAAGAUAAUGACUGUACCCACAGAAGAAGCCCCGGCUAACUCCGUG
rnacentral:rRNA from 1 species